UGGCAAGGUUGUAGCCUCCUCCUCCCAGGAUGAGAGUUGCCAGCUGCCACUGCAGGACGUACUUCAGGCACUUGCCCACUCCCUCGGGCGUCAUGUUGAAGGAGCACAUGGGGUCUCCAGCAAUGGUGUCAGCCCCCAGCUGUAGCACCACUGCCUCAGGGUUGAAGGCAGCGUACACCUCCUUCAGCACAGUUUCACAGAUCUGGUAAUAUUUCUCAUCUUGAAUGCCAUCUUGGAUAGGCACAUUCACACUGUAAUAGCGACCUUUCCCCAGGCCAAUAUCUGUCACAUCCCCUGUGCCUGGAAAAUGGAAACAGCCAGUGGUUAAUGAAGAGAAGAAGAGACUCAGCACUAAGAGAAACGUGUGGCAUGUCUCAGGCAAGAGCAGAGUGCCUGGUAUGUCUAUC
rnacentral:lncRNA from 1 species